GACGAACGCUGGCGGCGUGCCUAAUACAUGCAAGUUGAGCGCUGAAGGUUGGUACUUGUACCGACUGGAUGAGCAGCGAACGGGUGAGUAACGCGUGGGGAAUCUGCCUUUGAGCGGGGGACAACAUUUGGAAACGAAUGCUAAUACCGCAUAAAAACUUUAAACACAAGUUUUAAGUUUGAAAGAUGCAAUUGCAUCACUCAAAGAUGAUCCCGCGUUGUAUUAGCUAGUUGGUGAGGUAAAGGCUCACCAAGGCGAUGAUACAUAGCCGACCUGAGAGGGUGAUCGGCCACAUUGGGACUGAGACGCGGCCCAAACUCCUACGGGAGGCAGCAGUAGGGAAUCUUCGGCAAUGGACGAAAGUCUGACCGAGCAACGCCGCGUGAGUGAAGAAGGUUUUCGGAUCGUAAAACUCUGUUGGUAGAGAAGAACGUUGGUGAGAGUGGAAAGCUCAUCAAGUGACGGUAACUACCCAGAAAGGGACGGCUAACUACGUG
rnacentral:rRNA from 1 species